GACGAACGCUGGCGGCGUGCCUAAUACAUGCAAGUAGAACGCUGAAGGAGGAGCUUGCUCUUCUGGAUGAGUUGCGAACGGGUGAGUAACGCGUAGGUAACCUGCCUGGUAGCGGGGGAUAACUAUUGGAAACGAUAGCUAAUACCGCAUAAGAGUAGAUGUUGCAUGACAUUUACUUAAAAGGUGCAAUUGCAUCACUACCAGAUGGACCUGCGUUGUAUUAGCUAGUUGGUGGGGUAACGGCUUACCAAGGCGACGAUACAUAGCCGACCUGAGAGGGUGAUCGGCCACACUGGGACUGAGACACGGCCCAGACUCCUACGGGAGGCAGCAGUAGGGAAUCUUCGGCAAUGGACGGAAGUCUGACCGAGCAACGCCGCGUGAGUGAAGAAGGUUUUCGGAUCGGAAAGCUCUGUUGUAAGAGAAGAACGAGUGUGAGAGUGGAAAGUUCACACUGUGACGGUAUCUGACCAGAAAGGGACGGCUAACUACGUG
rnacentral:rRNA from 1 species